rnacentral:lncRNA from 1 species
UAAUGUAAUCGCAUGCCGUUUAGCCAACAAACAAAACCAAUUCAUUUAUUGUAAAAUUAAUCUAAAGUCUCUUGCGCCCGAGAAUGCUCAUACUUCCCCUAUCUCUUAAUUUAUCAAUGGAUGUCAAAUGCUCCAAUACGAGGUCCUCCACCAUAUACUAAAAAUAGCAAACUUGAAAAUAGCAAACUUGUUAUUAUUCAGGAGCCAAAAUAGGAAAUAAAAUUAGAAAAUAAACGCCAUCAAUUAAUCAUAACAUGAUUUAACUUACAUUUUGCAACUUAAAAGUCAUCUACUCUUCAUUUUCCUUAACAAAGUUGGUGCUUGGUCAUUUUCAAUAUGUGAAAAGAAGUAUGGCAACGGAAAGAAAUUAAAAAAGACAUUAAAGUAUAAAUAUAGCAAAAAAUCAAACUGUUGGAGUGUUAAGAAAUGAAAAAUACAAAGAUGGUAUAC